GCCGGCCUUGCCAAGCCUAAUCUCUGCUUGUCUUGGGGUUUUGCGGUGAGGUAGGGGCUGUUGAGUCCUGCUUUCCCUUCUACGGUAAACCGGAAGCAGGGAAGACAAUUUAGGGCGAGACCAAACUCAUUUUGGAUAUCGUCGGUAUUGACGAGAGAAUGGGUAUUUUGUGGUUUCUUCAAAAAUGCAAUAUUCUGUGUAGAUCCUGAAUGUAAGGUAGGACUUUAUAAUUGGAACCCUCUUGGCACAGGAGCUGAGAUUAGGGUUCCAGGGAGUCGCCGUCAGCCAUGUAGCUGAGGUGCAGACAGACCUUAGCCGGCCACUCCCGAUAGUCGGGAGAAAAAGCCGAAUUUAUUCCGGUUCCGCAGAGGGAAUUUUUUUUAUUUUUAAUAGGAAAAGGAGAAAUGUAGGUGCUCAGUAUUCUGACAAGUAAAAAGGAGAAAGGGAUGCGUAGGUUACAGGUGGUGACCCGCAGUGUUUGUUCUGCCUCAGAAACCUGGAGCCAAACCAGGGUCUAGUUGACUGCAGGUAAAGGGUUCAGCUCUCGGAUCCUAAUUUAGCAAGGGACAUAGAAAAUCAUCCUCUUUGAGCCCUUUAGUCCCUUUAGUGUUGGUUGAAGCAGUGAGUUGAGCUUGCUGAGGCAGCCCUUGGGAGGGUGGCGGGGUCAUGCUAGGCACCCGGCUUCACCCCGCGGGAGGCGUGCUGGAGUGUGGUCAGAGUGCAGGGAUUGCACUGGGGUCGUCGUGUCCCUCGAAGUCAGUGGUUGACGUAGAUAAAGUAUGAAUGAGAACUCUACAGACUUGCCUCCUUUAGGGACCGCGUUCCAUUCCGCCACAUGCAUCAGUUUUAUCAUCACCAGAGGAAUUGUUGGAAGCAAGUAGUCCUUAAAAGUGGGCCCCCCAAAAAGAAUGCACUGAGAAAUUUUUCUUGCCCUUUGACAACAAGUCUCAUAAGACCUAUGCCAAAUCACUCCCUUCUGCAUCAAAAUAGGCAAAUCAUACAUAUUUUUGGAUAUCCAGAUGAAACAAGCAUGACGUUGCUUGUUUUGCCUGGAUAUCCAAAAUUUGUCAGAUAGCUAAUUUUUCCUCAGUGUCAGACAUUACAAAAAUAAUACAUAUAUUGAAAACAUUUCUCUUUUCAGUAAAUAGUGUUUAUUUGUACAGCAUGCUUAGUGAAUGUGCCUAAAUACAAUAGGCUAUAGGGACUGCUCAUUUUAUGACUGAGUGCCUUUCCUGAGUGACUAGGUAAUUAAAUGAAUUGGUCACUAAAUGAGGAAUUGCAUAUUAUCUGUAAGUAUGCAGAACAAAGAAAUGGUCAGGAAACUCGAUGUCUUUGUUUUUAUUUGUAUAACUUUUACAUGAAGUACUGUAACGUGUAACAACAUAAAACUAGAGUGGACUGUGCAGUGUAGUUAGCAAAAACUAUAGUACUGUAUAAACAAGGCAUAGUAUACCAAAAAGACAUUGAGGCUUUAUAAGCAGGAUAUUGAGAACUGUACCAAAAAAAAAAAAAAAAGAUGAGUUGUCAUGUCUAAAGAGUGUACCUGAAUUGUAAGUUCAAACAGCUGUUAAAUGGAUAGGUCAAUAAACAAGGCAUAAUCUCUAUUUCUAAUGAGAGGUAUGGAAUUAGCAAGGCAUUGCAUAUGAUGCAGAAGGAGGAGCCUAGUUUGGUAGUACUGGUAGGAAAAAGUCGUUAGAAGUAUUUCCAGCUUACUAUGAAAUACUUGAAUUAAUCCACUAUACUCAAAAAGGAAACUCAUUUGAUAAACACUGAUUCUGAGAAAAUAAUCUGUUAGGUUUUCAGAGUGAUGGAGAGCCUAGAUGUGUGGUUUGCAUCCUUAGGUUUGUUUAUUAUUGUGAUCGAACUCUUUAAAAUGUCUCCUAGUAUCUUAAGAGGUAGGACUUUCUGAAGGUGAUUUAAUCCUUAGGAAACUAACUCUUCAAUAGGUCAGCACACUGGUGACUUUAUAGCUGAUGGGGUAUUAGGAAGUGGGUUAAGGUGAAAGAGCCAGGUCACUGGGGAAUACCUUCAAAGAGUACAGACAUGCCUUAUUUAACGACACACCUGUCUAAUGAGUAUUCGAAUUUAUGACUCCACUUUUUUUGUACAGUUCUGUACACCUUGUUUAUAGAGCCUAAAUGUCUUCAUGGUACAGUACACCAUGUUUAUGCAGUACUAUAAUUUUUGCUGAUUACUCUACUGUACAGUGCUGUGGUUUGAUGGUCUAUUAUACAUUACCAUACCAUGGGCAGAUGUUACACAAAUAAAAGCAAAGUCAUCAGGCUGGAGUUUCCUUUCACUAUUUCUUUGUUCUGAAUGUUGUAAAGAACAUGCUAUACACGAUUUCUUACUGAGCAAGCAAUUCAUUUAAUGACCUACUCCAUGGGAGAAAACUCAGUCAUUAAACAAGGAUUGCAGUAUCUCUCCUGGCCUUUCCAGCUGUCUCUGUUUCCAGGCCACCAUGACGUGAGCAGCUUUCCUCCACCCUCCACCAGACCCUUUAGCUGUGAAGUUUAUGCCCCAACCUGACCCACCUGAGGGUGAAAACUGUAAAACCAGGAGCCAUAAACCUUAAUCAAGGCUUUUUAUCCUUUGAGUUGUUUAUGGCAAGAAUUGUGUUCCAAAAACAGAAAGCUGAUGACCUUAUCCACCAUUGUAUUGUGCUUCAGCCUUCCAAGCUUGGCAGCUGUGGCCAGCACAAACAGCCUUUGUAACCUUUGUUCUCUUGUGUGUGUGUAGCUGCCUGAUACUGGCUUUAAAAUAAAUAUAGAAUCAAGUGUGGGGAUGAUACCAUCUCGUCUUUUUUCAUUUUUUUCCAAGUGUUUUAUUAAUUGCCUGUUCUCAGAUAAUUUACCAAUAAGUUGGGGGAAAUGUUUGAAAAGAGAUUGAAAACUAUCAAAAGAGACCAAAGUACAUAACUAAUUUGGAAGAGAGAGAAGUUUUAUGGCUGGUAGAACUGUUAGGAAGAUGGCACAAAAGGAGACAUGUUUUUAGUGCUGACACUAACACGAAAGAAAACCCCCGCCCUUUUUUCUGCUCCUAUUUAAGUAGUGCCUGGAUCCAUAGCUGUCUGAGUUUAACUGGAGGUAGCCAGGUAUUUGCAGAAAGUUUUCAGUGGUGUUAGUGGUCUAAAAUAAUGACCAUUUUUAUUCCUUAUUUCUUGUUAUAAAGUACCCCUCAUACAUACUAUGUAUGCACCAAUGAUUAGAUCUGCUUAAUUGGAGUAGACUUUGAGAAUAAACCACAGAAAGAAUAUUUAAAUAUCCUGAAAAGACAGGCAUAUGAAGACUGUAAGAGCUCAGCCAAGACCUGUGUUUCUUUCAUUCAGUGUAAUAGCAUUAUUGCUAACCAACAGAACAAAGGCUAAUAUACUGUAGUGUUAACAUGUCAGUAUCUAGUAACUCUUGUAACUGCUGGAUAAAUGUAGACUGUACUUUUUUAAUUGCACUUUUGUAAUUGCAUAUGAAAUUAUGCUUUUUCUUAUCCUCUCUUACUGGACUCACUGUUAAAUUUCUUUUCUCACUUUCCUCUAUAUCCUGUUCUCCACUCAGGAAUCUUAUUUUAUUUUAUUUUUUAACUGUACUGAGGGAAAACAAACCCCAGAGACUCAUGCACUUUGCCUCUGACCUACACUCCCAGCCUUGCAGGCAGGGCUUGUCACUAUCCUGGGGUUUUUUGAAUUAUGAAGUGAUCUCACCAAACUGCACAAUUAUGUAAAACUCUUAGAACACUGCAGCAACAUUUGUACAAAGAGUAGCAAUUCUUAAAAUGUGAAAUUAAGACUGGCCCCUGUACAGGCAAAACUGAGAGACUGAGGACUAAAUUGAACCAAAGAGAAAAAAAGUAAAAUUCCAUGUGUACUCCAGUUUGGAGUUUGAGAUUGAACCCUUUUAAGUGUCCUUCCUGCUGUUUGCGUCCUGUGAACAUGUGUAUGUAUGUGCUUUUCCUGAGCUGUAGUGUCUUUCAUAAGGUCCUCAGUCAUUGGCAUACACAGCAUCACAUUGGGUAAGGACGCAAAUUUCGGUCCCUACUUGCAAAUACUUUAUAGCAAGCACAUGAUGUUUAUGUCAUACUCUGAAAAACAAUGAAUAAUGAUAGUUCUUACACCUCAAGUGUCCCCUUCUGAACAAAAGAUGCUUCUACUAAUUUACAUACUUGAACCCUUAUGAUAAGAUCUUAUUAAAAUUUCAUUAUUAACAUUUGAUUUUCAUGAAUGCUAUUUACGAACCUGCAAUGAACUUUUUUAAGGGGCUUUUAUUCUUGAGUGCAAAGCACCAUUUAACUUUUUAAACAACACUAGGGAAUGGGAAAAGAGCAAAAAACAAUCUGGAUACAAAGUUUUCUCCAGUAUUUUUUACAAAAUUUAUGAAGGCAAUGCUUAACCAUUUUGGGUUGUGUCCCUCAAUGCUUAAGUAGCUUUCGGUCAUAACAGGUCCAGCUUAACUUCCACAGGGAAGAGGGCUCAGUGUCAUGAAACAAUUCUCAUCAAAUUGAGCAAUAUCAGAGAUUAGAAAAGAGUGACUUUCAGGCUAAAUGCAUUUAGAGUUCAUAAUGCAGUCUAAUCUGUCAUCUCUUUAGGUAAAAGUUCUAAUUAAAAAAAUUAGAACUUUGACAACAGUUAAAAGCUUACAAGCAGAUGUAAUACAAGCAGCUGUGCAUGGUGGUUCAUGCCUAUAAUCCCAGCUCUCAAUAGGCUGAAAUAGGAGGAUCUCUUCUACUUUGAGGCCAGCUUGGGAUACAUAGUGAGUUUAGGACUACCCAGGUCUACAUACCAAGACUGUCUCAAAAACCAGAACAAACUACAAACCCAAAAAACUAAGAAAACAAACAAAAAAUACAGUUUGCAUAGGAGAUUUGAACUAGAAAAUUGUGACAAAUUAACUAAAGAAAAUCAAUUCAAUGUGAAACGUUUCUAUAAACCAAUAUAAACUACCUUUUAUGAGAAAGUAUAUCAUUUAUUUAUGCCUAUACCAAAAAUUAAAGUCUAGUGACAGAAUUUUUUUCUAAAUACAACUGCAAAAUUUUUGAAUAUACAAAAAUUAAAGUAUGUUACCAACUAAAAAAAAUUCACAUAAUAAAGACUCAGUCAUUGCUGGGGUAAAUGAAUGACUUUUGCAACUUAAGGGUGGAGAGGUUUAUUUUAGUUUAUGAAAUUUUAUUCCUUGUUAAGGAGAUUCAGAUGAAGAAAAUGGCAUGACAUAAGUGUCAUAUGUGCCUACUAUGGGAGAAACCUGCUUAUGUCGUGGCCAGGAAGCUAUGAGAGAAGGGAGGAGCUCAGGAAAAAGCUGUAUCCUUUUCAGGUAUGUCCUCGCUUCCAACCAUGUCCCACCUCCUUAUAGUACAAUUAACCCUAAACUCAUCAGUGGACUAAUCCACUGAUGAGUAUAGCACCCCCACAGAUCCAUUGCCAUGAUCCAAUUUAGACACAUGAGAUUUUAGGGAAAAAGUUCAGGUCCAAACCAUAAUGUAUUUAUAGGGUACAGUAUGACUUUUUUUUUUUUUUUUUGUCUUUUUCAUUUUUAUCGGUACCGGGGAUCGAACUCACGACCGCCUGCUUGCAAGGCAGGUGCUUAUGCCGCUGAGCUAAAUCCCCAGCCCCCACAGUAUGACAUUUUUAUGCAUUUAUGCAAUGUGUAAUCAUAUGUUGUCAUACAUAAUUUUUUGUUGACAGCAUUCAAAAUAUUAUUUUAAAAUAUUAAAUUAACUGUUGUUAACCAUAGUUUUCCUUGUCUGACUCCUUAUCCCAAUUAACCAUCCUGGCUCCACCUCUAAGAGAGUAUUUUAAAUAAAAUCAUCUUAGUUACUGUCUCCUCCCAGAAACACAGUACCCAGUACCCACAGUUUAAGGAUAUAUAGGUUUAUUUUGAUUUGGUUUGUAGAGGUUUCAGUUCACAGUGACCUAACUCCAGGAUAUGGCAGCCUGGUAGAGGAGAAAUAGUGCAUAGGUUGGCAGAGGGAAGCAAAGAGCUAUCAAGGGAGGAGGGGAAUAGACCCUUCUAGGUCUUGCCCUCCACCAAGCUUUACCUCUUGACAUCACAUUUGCCUAUAAACUCAGUGCCCUAAUCCACUGAUGAAUAUCACAGUCCCAUGAUCCAGUCACCUCCCAAAAGACCCCCACCCCGUGAGUACAAGAGGCUUGCGGGACAUCUAGAUACAAAUUAUAACAGCAUCUCUUAAUAGUUUUUGAAUUUUAAUACUCAAAGUGGAAAAUGAAAGAUCUCUUCUUUGGGAUAAGAAGUACACAAAAGAUAGAGAAGUUAUACAGUUAUUAAGGGCAGUAAAAGUAGGGAAAGAUACACUCUGCAGAGUGCAGAAUAGACCACUGAAAGAGCUUAUAGUGGCAGUGAUAGAUCUCAAUGGCUACUUAUCAUUUGAUAAAGAUCUUGAUAGAUAAAAAAAAUUUAAAUAUAUUAUAGAUAUACUAUAAAGUUUUUUCAAGUAAUGAAGAGACAUAGUUUAUGUCUGUGGCCCCCAGGCCUCAUAAGUUUGCAUUGUGCAUUUGUGAUGCUUCAUUGUCUAGUGCUUGGAUUGACAGUGUCAGUGCUCCACCCACAUAGGGGUGGAGCCAGGAUGUGUUGUAAUGGCCGGAAGAAGGUGUAUCUUGCUCUGUGCUGGUUCCUGCUUGUUGUUUGCCGCCACCAUGAACUGCGGCCCAGCCAUGCCCGCCCGCCUUGGAGCCAACUGAGUGUGGACUGAAACCUCCAAAAACUUGCUCCAAAUCAGAACCAGGACCUCAUCUAUGCCUAGAUAAGUGUUCUACCACUCAGCCACACCCGGUUCUUUUCGCAGUAGAGGUCCUUGAAGAACUGGGAAUGCAGCAAGUGGUAAAGCACCUGCCUAACAUGCCUGGGGCCCUGGGCUCAAUCUCCCCUCUCCACCAGAGAAGAAAUUUUUCAGCUAUAUUUUUCCAAGAAACAAAAGAGAAAGCCACUUCUAUGACACAAGUCUUUGGAUCUUUUAGUUGAAAGAUAUUUAACAAAAUUGCUACCAUCCAUCAUCUGAAACCAUUAAACCACCUCUCUAGCAAUGUUCUGUUCAUUUUACCUCAGUGAUUGCCUUUAGAAAUUUUGCAAAACAAAGAUAAAACCAAUUUCAUUUGAGUGCCCAUUUUUCACUGGGUUCAGGCUCUCAGAAUACGGUGACACAAGAUGAGAAAUUACCAUGAUGUAAAUUCAAAUGAGCUCAAAUUUCUGAAGUAACUCAAUUCUGCUCAGCAGUGAUUAAAUAAGGACACAGAGAGGAAAACCAUUUCUUUUCCUGUUAGCAAAUGAUUCAUUAAUUCAUGCAACAUUGUAUCUGCUGUUUUCCCAAGUGCUUCCUAUAGUCAGUGAACAAAAUAGAAAAAUUCCUGUUUGCUCAUGGAAUAAGUUUUUCCAGUUAAAUCCUUUCAAUUUAAAAUGUUUCCCUUACAAAAGUCUGUGGUUAGAGACUCGUGGGUGGCUGUUUCCUCUUCUCCAUUAGAAGGGACUUGGUGGAAACGUUCAAGAAACACUGUAGCAACUCUCUGACUUCUCUGAGUACCCAACAUGGUUAACUGAGGAGCAGGCAGCUGUUAGGGAAGAGUGGGAAACAGGUGAGUUGACAGAGAUGGUGACCUCCUGUGACACAGACCCGGCUAAGGGAGCGUGGGGGCCUCACAGAGCAGAGGAGUCCUGGAGCCAGGAAGUUCCUAUUUUCAAACCCUGGCCUUUCCUGCUGAACAGUAAGCAAUCCACCCAGGAAAUGCUUGCUCUUGGAAUCUCUUUUCCAAGGGUCUGUGCAGACCAGCUGCCUUCCAGUCAGACAGGGCUCAGUCACAGAAGUUACCUUUCAUCAGAUUGUAUCUAUGUGACUUGACUGCAUUCAGCUCUCACCAAAACAAUACAGUGUUCCCAGUGUGCAGCUACCUCGUACCAUAUCUUAAAUUGUAAAAAUGAUCUCCCUAUUUCACUGUGUCUAUUUUCAAUAUGUGUUACAGGGAAAUAUAAUUUUUAAUUUCUGAGCAUCUAA